rnacentral:rRNA from 1 species
AUGAACGCUAGCUACAGGCUUAACACAUGCAAGUCGAGGGGCAUCAGGAAGAAAGCUUGCUUUCUUUGCUGGCGACCGGCGCACGGGUGAGUAACACGUAUCCAACCUGCCCUUUACUCGGGGAUAGCCUUUCGAAAGAAAGAUUAAUACCCGAUAGUAUAAUGAUUCCGCAUGGUUUCAUUAUUAAAGGAUUCCGGUAAAGGAUGGGGAUGCGUUCCAUUAGGUUGUUGGUGAGGUAACGGCUCACCAAGCCUUCGAUGGAUAGGGGUUCUGAGAGGAAGGUCCCCCACAUUGGAACUGAGACACGGUCCAAACUCCUACGGGAGGCAGCAGUGAGGAAUAUUGGUCAAUGGGCGUUAGCCUGAACCAGCCAAGUAGCGUGAAGGAUGAAGGCUCUAUGGGUCGUAAACUUCUUUUAUAUAAGAAUAAAGUGCAGUAUGUAUACUGUUUUGUAUGUAUUAUAUGAAUAAGGAUCGGCUAACUCCGUGCCAGCAGCCGCGGUAAUACGGAGGAUCCGAGCGUUAUCCGGAUUUAUUGGGUUUAAAGGGAGCGUAGGUGGACUGGUAAGUCAGUUGUGAAAGUUUGCGGCUCAACCGUAAAAUUGCAGUUGAUACUGUCAGUCUUGAGUACAGUAGAGGUGGGCGGAAUUCGUGGUGUAGCGGUGAAAUGCUUAGAUAUCACGAAGAACUCCGAUUGCGAAGGCAGCUCACUGGACUGCAACUGACACUGAUGCUCGAAAGUGUGGGUAUCAAACAGGAUUAGAUACCCUGGUAGUCCACACAGUAAACGAUGAAUACUCGCUGUUUGCGAUAUACAGUAAGCGGCCAAGCGAAAGCAUUAAGUAUUCCACCUGGGGAGUACGCCGGCAACGGUGAAACUCAAAGGAAUUGACGGGGGCCCGCACAAGCGGUGGAGCAUGUGGUUUAAUUCGAAGCAACGCGAAGAACCUUACCAGGUCUUGACAUCGUAUGCAUAGCUCAGAGAUGAGUGAAAUCUCUUCGGAGACAUAUAGACAGGUGGUGCAUGGUUGUCGUCAGCUCGUGCCGUGAGGUGUCGGCUUAAGUGCCAUAACGAGCGCAACCCUUAUCUUUAGUUACUAACAGGUUAUGCUGAGGACUCUAGAGAGACUGCCGUCGUAAGAUGUGAGGAAGGUGGGGAUGACGUCAAAUCAGCACGGCCCUUACGUCCGGGGCUACACACGUGUUACAAUGGGGGGUACAGAAGGCAGCUAGCGGGUGACCGUAUGCUAAUCCCAAAAGCCUCUCUCAGUUCGGAUCGAAGUCUGCAACCCGACUUCGUGAAGCUGGAUUCGCUAGUAAUCGCGCAUCAGCCACGGCGCGGUGAAUACGUUCCCGGGCCUUGUACACACCGCCCGUCAAGCCAUGGGAGCCGGGGGUACCUGAAGUACGUAACCGCAAGGAUCGUCCUAGGGUAAAACUGGUGACUGGGGCU